UACAAAUUAAACUCUUUAGUUUGACUUGGAGUUUACUAAAAUUUAAACAGAUUACUGCUACAAACGGCAAGGGAAAUCAUGCAUUAUAUUUUCAUUAACUUUGAACAUUGAAUGAGGAAUGAAUAAGAGUAUAAUUUUAUUUAAAAAUAAAUAGUGCAAAAUUACUAUAUAAUAAUAAAGAUUACAUAGAUGCAUAUUAUUGUAUUUUAGCAUUAAUAAUAAAUAAGCUACAAUAAAUGUCGAUUAUUAAACUAAUGGUAUUUAUCUAUUUUGUAAAAAGUGAGA